GAUGAACGCUGGCGGCGUGCCUAAUACAUGCAAGUCGAGCGAACAGACGAGGAGCUUGCUCCUCUGACGUUAGCGGCGGACGGGUGAGUAACACGUGGAUAACCUACCUAUAAGACUGGGAUAACUUCGGGAAACCGGAGCUAAUACCGGAUAAUAUAUUGAACCGCAUGGUUCAAUAGUGAAAGACGGUUUUGCUGUCACUUAUAGAUGGAUCCGCGCCGCAUUAGCUAGUUGGUAAGGUAACGGCUUACCAAGGCAACGAUGCGUAGCCGACCUGAGAGGGUGAUCGGCCACGCUGGAACUGAGACACGGUCCAGACUCCUACGGGAGGCAGCAGUAGGGAAUCUUCCGCAAUGGGCGAAAGCUUGACGGAGCAACGCCGCGUGAGUGAUGAAGGUCUUCGGAUCGUAAAACUCUGUUAUUAGGGAAGAACAAAUGUGUAAGUAACUAUGCACGUCUGGACGGUACCUAAUCAGAAAGCCACGGCUAACUACGU
rnacentral:rRNA from 1 species